rnacentral:rRNA from 1 species
CCUACGGGAGGCAGCAGUGGGGAAUAUUGGACAAUGGGGGCAACCCUGAUCCAGCCAUGCCGCGUGUGUGAAGAAGGCCCUCGGGUUGUAAAGCACUUUCAGUGAGGAAGAACGCCUGGUGGUUAAUACCCAUCAGUAAAGACAUCACUCACAGAAGAAGCACCGGCUAACUCCGUGCCAGCAGCCGCGGUAAUACGGAGGGUGCGAGCGUUAAUCGGAAUUACUGGGCGUAAAGCGCGCGUAGGUGGCUUGAUAAGCCGGUUGUGAAAGCCCCGGGCUCAACCUGGGAACGGCAUCCGGAACUGUCAAGCUAGAGUGCAGGAGAGGAAGGUAGAAUUCCCGGUGUAGCGGUGAAAUGCGUAGAGAUCGGGAGGAAUACCAGUGGCGAAGGCGGCCUUCUGGACUGACACUGACACUGAGGUGCGAAAGCGUGGGUAGCAAACAGGAUUAGAUACCCGAGUAGUC